UGAUAAGAAAGGGAAUAAAACCCCUGUAAAUAGGACUACAGCCUACCGCCUGACACUCGGCCAUCUUACC
rnacentral:tRNA from 1 species